GAUGAACGCUGGCGGCGUGCUUAACACAUGCAAGUCGAACGGUGAAGCAGAGCUUGCUCUGUGGAUCAGUGGCGAACGGGUGAGUAACACGUGAGCAAUCUGCCCCUGACUCUGGGAUAAGCGCUGGAAACGGCGUCUAAUACCGGAUACGAGCUGCGACCGCAUGGUCAGUAGCUGGAAAGAAUUUCGGUCAGGGAUGAGCUCGCGGCCUAUCAGCUUGUUGGUGAGGUAAUGGCUCACCAAGGCGUCGACGGGUAGCCGGCCUGAGAGGGUGACCGGCCACACUGGGACUGAGACACGGCCCAGACUCCUACGGGAGGCAGCAGUGGGGAAUAUUGCACAAUGGGCGCAAGCCUGAUGCAGCAACGCCGCGUGAGGGAUGACGGCCUUCGGGUUGUAAACCUCUUUUAGCAGGGAAGAAGCGAAAGUGACGGUACCUGCAGAAAAAGCGCCGGCUAACUACGUGCCAGCAGCCGCGGUAAUACGUAGGGCGCAAGCGUUAUCCGGAAUUAUUGGGCGUAAAGAGCUCGUAGGCGGUCUGUCGCGUCUGCUGUGAAAACCCGAGGCUCAACCUCGGGCCUGCAGUGGGUACGGGCAGACUAGAGUGCGGUAGGGGAGAUUGGAAUUCCUGGUGUAGCGGUGGAAUGCGCAGAUAUCAGGAGGAACACCGAUGGCGAAGGCAGAUCUCUGGGCCGUAACUGACGCUGAGGAGCGAAAGGGUGGGGAGCAAACAGGCUUAGAUACCCUGGUAGUCCACCCCGUAAACGUUGGGAACUAGUUGUGGGGUCCAUUCCACGGAUUCCGUGACGCAGCUAACGCAUUAAGUUCCCCGCCUGGGGAGUACGGCCGCAAGGCUAAAACUCAAAGGAAUUGACGGGGACCCGCACAAGCGGCGGAGCAUGCGGAUUAAUUCGAUGCAACGCGAAGAACCUUACCAAGGCUUGACAUAUAGAGGAAACGUCUGGAAACAGUCGCCCCGCAAGGUCUCUAUACAGGUGGUGCAUGGUUGUCGUCAGCUCGUGUCGUGAGAUGUUGGGUUAAGUCCCGCAACGAGCGCAACCCUCGUUCUAUGUUGCCAGCACGUAAUGGUGGGAACUCAUGGGAUACUGCCGGGGUCAACUCGGAGGAAGGUGGGGAUGACGUCAAAUCAUCAUGCCCCUUAUGUCUUGGGCUUCACGCAUGCUACAAUGGCCGGUACAAAGGGCUGCAAUACCGUGAGGUGGAGCGAAUCCCAAAAAGCCGGUCCCAGUUCGGAUUGAGGUCUGCAACUCGACCUCAUGAAGUCGGAGUCGCUAGUAAUCGCAGAUCAGCAACGCUGCGGUGAAUACGUUCCCGGGUCUUGUACACACCGCCCGUCAAGUCAUGAAAGUCGGUAACACCUGAAGCCGGUGGCCCAACCCUUGUGGAGGGAGCCGUCGAAGGUGGGAUCGGUAAUUAGGACUAAGUCGUAACAAGGUAGCCGUACCGA
rnacentral:rRNA from 1 species